GCCGAUGAGGUUCGAAACCAUCCCUCAAUAAAAAACUAGGAGGCA
rnacentral:ncRNA from 2 species